UACGGAGGGUGCGAGCGUUGUCCGGAAUCACUGGGCGUAAAGCGUGCGCAGGCGGUCUGUUAAGACCGAUGUGAAAUCCCCGGGCUUAACCUGGGAACUGCAUUGGUGACUGGCAGGCUUUGAGUGUGGCAGAGGGAGGUAGAAUUCCACGUGUAGCAGUGAAAUGCGUAGAGAUGUGGAGGAAUACCGAUGGCGAAGGCAGCCUCCUGGGCCAACACUGACGCUCAUGCACGAAAGCGUGGGGAGCAAACAGG
rnacentral:rRNA from 1 species